GAUGUAGCUAGGAAGCUUCCGACAGAUAGAUAUAACCUCCCCCAGAAGAGCCCGCACCGCCUACGAGUCCGUCUCUUCCUAAUCUACCAGUACUUCUAGAUAUAUCGAACUAAAAACAAAAAAGGAAAAAACCAGUCUUCUAGAUUAUUAUAAUUAUCAUUUCCAGUUUUUCCAAUUAAACUAAUCCGUCACCAUCAUCUUCUAAUAAUGCAAUGGAAACUUCAAAGAAACUCCCAUUGCCAGCCUUUAUGAUCCUGGUGGCCUUAUUUCUCACAAUAUCGCGUAGUCUUUUGUGAGCCUCUUUAAUUAGUUUAGCUUCUCUCUUCAAAACGAUAAAUGGGAACGCCGGCGCCUAAGCAGCUGCUGCUUCUGCUGCUGCUUAUACUGAUUGUUUCAACGUCCCACCUGCAACCAGGUGGUGUUGCAGAAGCAAGGCCUAUUUCCUCAAUACCUCAACAAAGCCGAUACUCAAAGAUUUUCUCGACGUUAGGAAUUGUUUGCAAGUGUUGUGAUGGAGACAAAGGUGAAUGCACUAGUACACGGACGGAGUCCUGCUCUAAGCUCCAAUGCUUUCCCUGGAAACUAAACUAGCUAGCUAGUCACUGCAUCAUGUAGUUUUUUGUUUCUUCUGGGUUUCUGUACAUAUUAUUACUAUUAAUUGAUAUAUAUAAACUGGGUUGAUCCCAUUAUGCCA